AACAAACGCUGGCGGCGUGCCUAACACAUGCAAGUCGUACGAGAAAGGGUCCUUCGGGAUCUGAGUAAAGUGGCGCACGGGUGAGUAACACGUGGGUAACCUGCCCCGAUGACUGGGACAACCCGGGGAAACCCGGGCUAAUACCGGAUGAUGUGCACACACUUAAGUGUGUUCACUAAAGGUAGCUUCGGCUGCCGCAGUGGGAGGGGCCCGCGGCCCAUUAGCUUGUUGGUGAGGUAACGGCUCACCAAGGCAACGAUGGGUAGCUGGUCUGAGAGGACGAUCAGCCACACUGGGACUGAGACACGGCCCAGACUCCUACGGGAGGCAGCAGUGGGGAAUCUUGCGCAAUGCGCGAAAGCGUGACGCAGCAACGCCGCGUGAGGGAAGACGGCCUUCGGGUUGUAAACCUCUUUCAGUAGGGACGAAGGCCGGCCGGUGAAUAGCCGUGUCGGUUGACGGUACCUUCAGAAGAAGCUCCGGCUAACUACGUGCCAGCAGCCGCCGCAGUAA
rnacentral:rRNA from 1 species